UACGGGGGGAGCAAGCGUUGUUCGGAUUUACUGGGCGUAAAGGGCGCGUAGGCGGCGCAACAAGUCACUUGUGAAAUCUCCGGGCUUAACUCGGAGCGGCCAAGUGAUACUGUCGUGCUAGAGUGCGGAAGGGGCUACUGGAAUUCUCGGUGUAGCGGUGAAAUGCGUAGAUAUCGAGAGGUACACCUGCGGCGAAGGCGGGUAGCUGGGCCGACACUGACGCUGAGGCGCGAAAGCUAGGGGAGCGAACGGG
rnacentral:rRNA from 1 species